rnacentral:rRNA from 1 species
AGUGAACGCUGGCGGUAGGCCUAACACAUGCAAGUCGAACGGCAGCACAGUAAGAGCUUGCUCUUACGGGUGGCGAGUGGCGGACGGGUGAGGAAUACAUCGGAAUCUACUUUUUCGUGGGGGAUAACGUAGGGAAACUUACGCUAAUACCGCAUACGACCUACGGGUGAAAGCAGGGGAUCUUCGGACCUUGCGCGAUUGAAUGAGCCGAUGUCGGAUUAGCUAGUUGGCGGGGUAAAGGCCCACCAAGGCGACGAUCCGUAGCUGGUCUGAGAGGAUGAUCAGCCACACGGGAAAUGAGACACGGGCCAGACCCCUACGGGGGGCAGCGGGGGGGAAUAUUGGACAAGGGGCGCAAGCCUGAUCCAGCCAUACCGGGGGGGUGAAGAAGGCCUUUGGGUUGUAAAGCCCUUUUGUUGGGAAAAAAAAGCAGCAGGUUAAUACCCCGCUGUUUUGACGGUCCCCAAAAAAAAAGCCCCGGCUAACUUCGU